rnacentral:rRNA from 1 species
UACGAAGGGUGCAAGCGUUACUCGGAAUUACUGGGCGUAAAGCGUGCGUAGGUGGUGAGUUAAGUCUGUCGUGAAAGCCCCGGGCUCAACCUGGGAAUGGCGAUGGAUACUGGCUCGCUAGAGUGCGGUAGAGGAGAGUGAAAUUCCCGGUGUAGCAGUGAAAUGCGUAGAGAUCGGGAGGAACAUCAGUUGCGAAGGCGGCUCUCUGGACCAGCACUGACACUGAGGCACGAAAGCGUGGGGAGCAAACAGG